CUCAUUUGCAUAUACGCGCAUGCGUACCUCAUUGCAGUGAUGACCGUUUCUGUUAUUUGAAAAGGUACUUUCAUGUGAGAAAAAAUAUUUCACACGGAAAUAGACACCAUUUCCUUGAUUUUCCACCAAUAUAUAUUUCGGACUUUUUUUUGGAACAAGUCGCCUUAUUAACAUUUGAUAUUCAGUUGUGACGAUUUCAGAUAAAAAAAAAAGAAUUUCUAAAGGAAUCAAUACCAGACUGGGAUUUCAAGAAAAAAGAAAUUUUAAUGAAGAAUUAUCAUUAUUGCAUCUAUUUUUCAAUGCUGGCAUAGACUGGAUAAUAUUG
rnacentral:lncRNA from 1 species